GAUUUGCACGAGAUAAGCUGGUCAAUUCCCCGCGAAAUCGAACAACAUAAUCACUGUUACAUAGGAUACAAAGGGAACAGACGUACGAAGUCGGAAACUCUAUUUAUUUUAUAAAACAAGGAACGUAGGAAGUCUUUGUAAAACAAAGUAGGAUUGUUUAGAAGAACAUUUUCAGCUUCAUGCAAAUGUAGAUUGAAGGAAACUCUUGAUCAAACUUUAGCAGCAGAAAGAAAAGGAAAUUCCAUUAAGUUUCAGGAAAUACUUUCAAGGCUAUGCUUGCUGCUUGUUUACCUUUGACAAACUGACCCAGAAAUAAUCCUUGUGAAAUAAGGUUGAUCUUGAAGUUGUGUAUACUACUAAAACAUUAGUCAUGCUUUAGUGGUUCCAUUUUUAUGAAUAGAAAAAAUUUCCAAACUAUUAUUGAUCAGGUUACUGUCUUAAAAUACAGAAAAGACGAAAGCAGUGUAAAAUGAACGAAAGACCUGCAGCCCGUUUGCUUUGCAAUCUUUUCCGCCCUCCAACAGGCAACCUGUUUCAACCAUAUCGUGUUCAUAACAACAAGAUGGCGACUGUUCGACGAUUGUUUUCUUCAGAGAUAGUCUUGUCAGCUUUAGGAAAUAUUUUUAACAACACAACUUAUAAGGAUCGCCAUUCAUAGAGGAUAAGCCCUUUGGCCAUGUUAUUACAUAGGACAUCUACAUCGUCCCAAGACCGACAGGUUAUAAACUCUGUUUGAAUAAAAAGACCAUCAAUAUCUUCCAUCUCAAAAAUGCACAGUAAAGAGUGUCAACUUCAAAGAUCUUAUUUUAUCCCAUUAUAAAAAUUGGUGUAAAUGGGAAAAAUCCGACAAAAAGUCUCUGGAUUCGUAGUGAAAUAAAUUUAUUUUGGAUAUUCGUAUAUCUUAUUUUUGAUAAUAACAGGGUAGGAAUUGCGCCCAUUUUAAGGAAUUGAAAAAAAUAAUAAUAACUAGCAAAGCGUUUGUAUUCAUAUCAGCAGACACAGUAGCCAUAUUUGUGGUAGUGAUAUGAUGCAAUGUAUACCAUACGUGGAAGUUCUUGAGAAUGAAAACAUACAUGUAGAAGGCCGUACGCUACAGAGUAAAUUGUUAUCACACUUCGUUUUAAGGCUUGAACUGAAAAUGUGAAGGUCCCUUCUAUGUAUGAGCUUCUAAAACAGUACAAAAACCUUUUGAGAUUUCGUUUCAACAUACUCAGUUUCUAGUGUGUGUUUUACAACUAAAUCUAUUCUUUGAGAGUUUUGUUGGUGUCGUGGAUAAAUUGCGUGCAUUUGGUGACACAUUCCGUGAACUGGCCGACAUUUUCUGAUUUUCAAGUCUCUACAUGUACACUACACUUCAAUACAACAGUAUCUUAUCAAGGAAUUCAAUGGUCCUUUGAUAAAUAUGAAUGUAGAUUUAUUUGCUGCAACUCUUAUGGAGCUGCAAAUUUAAUCGACGUCUGGUCGUCUGGCAAGGAAGUGAAUAAAAUGCGCCUGUAACAUAUAGCAGACAUGUUCCUGUAUUGUUAUGAAUCACAAUUUAUGACCAAACUAUGAAUAGAACCAUCUAAACAGCAAUGAUUGAUAAAAUUCAAUUUAUAAACACUUGCCGAUACUGUGAUAAUAUAUGAUCAUAACUGCAGCAAAUAAGACCAAGGAACGAAACUAUUUUAAAUAAAUCUUACACCGACACCAGUUUUGUGCAUAUAAUUUUUAUGUCGUUGAUAAGGCCCGUUCAUUUAGACACGAGCUGUGUAAACUUUUUUCUCGGCUAAAUUACGUAAAAAUGUGUAACUGCAGUUGCCCUAUGCUAUUUAUAAAUUCGAUUCUUCUAAAGCUUGAGGUAAAUAUUAUUACUUAAAUCACUUCUUGUGGUCUUCACAUGUAUAAUAAUCAUAUUGCUUUAAAACUUUCGAAUUUAAAAAAAAAAUCUUCUGAUUAGUAAAUUGCUUUAAGAUUUCAUCCAAGUUAUUGGUAUUAAAGAGUUAAUGACAAUAUGGUGAAGGUUAAUUGGGAAAACAUCGUUGGAAGAGU